GUAGGUGAACCUGCGGAAGGAUCAUUACAGAGUUCAUGCCCUUACGGGUAGAUCUCCCACCCUUGAAUACUAUACCUUCGUUGCUUUGGCAGGCCGUGGAAACACCACGGGCCUCGGCUAGUGCGUGCCUGCUAGAGGAAACAAACUCUGUUUUUAGUGAUGUCUGAGUACUAUAUAAAUAGUUAAAACUUUCAACAACGGAUCUCUUGGUUCUGGCAUCGAUGAGGAACGCAGCAUCUGACUGACUUCA
rnacentral:misc_RNA from 1 species